rnacentral:rRNA from 1 species
CCUACGGGGUGCAGCAGUCGAGAAUCAUUCACAAUGGGGGAAACCCUGAUGGUGCGACGCCGCGUGGGGGAAUGAAGGUCUUCGGAUUGUAAACUCCUGUCAUGUGGGAGCAAAUUAAAAAGAUAGUACCACAUGAGGAAGAGCCGGCUAAAUCUGUGCCAGCAGCCGCGGUCAUACAGAGGUCUCAAGCGUUGUUCGGAAUCACUGGGCGUAAGGGGUGCGUAGGCGGUUUCGUAAGUCGUGUGUGAAAGGCGCGGGCUCAACCCGCGGACGGCACAUGAUACUGCGAGACGAGAGUAAGGGAGAGGGAACCGGAAUUCUCGGUGUAGCAGUGAAAUGCGUAGAUAUCGAGAGGAACACUCGUGGCGAAGGCGGGUUACUGGACAUUAACUGACGCUGAGGCACGAAGGCCAGGGGAGCGAAAGGGAUUAGAUACCCGAGUAGUC